rnacentral:rRNA from 1 species
CAGCUCGUGUCGUGUAGAUGUUCGGUUAAGUCCGCUAACGAGCGCAACCCUCGCUGUGUGUUAUAUGUGUCACACAGGACUGCUGGUAUUAAGCCGGAGGAAGGUGGGACGACGUCAAGUCAGCAUGACCUUUAUAUCCAGGGCUACACACACGCUACAAUGGUCAGUACAAUGGGUUGCCAAGCCGCGAGGCGGAGCCAAUCCUAAAAAGCUGGCCUCAGUUCAGAUUGCAGUCUGAAACUCGACUGCAUGAAGUCGGAGUUGCUAGUGAACGCAGGUCAGCUAUACUGCGUUGAAUACGUUCCCGGGGCUU